CCACCAUAGAUCUGUAUUAUACACCGAUCCGAGGAAAUAACCGGAAGUAGAGCGGCCGCCUUUACUGAAGUGCUCCCUGACGUAAACUCGUAAUUGAAGCGUAUGAAGUUACUGACUUUCACAUCAUCUUUGUACAAAUAUGUCUGGAUCUGGACUAACGUGUGCCGUAAUCGGAUGUCACAAUAACAGCAGAAAGCUAAAAAUGUGGAAAAAGAGCGUAUGUGCGCUUCAUAGUCCACAGUUUAAAGAGGAUUGUCCUUGUUGUGUGCCCUACGGUGUACACCGCUUCCCCGGCCGUGCUGAGGAUGAAGACAUUCGCAAGAUGUGGAUUAAAAACGUACACCGAAAGGACUUUGCCCCCAAACAAGUAUUCAAGGGUGUGUGGAGUACACUUCCCUGACGGCAGACCAACGCAGGAACACCCAUGAAUAUAGUAAAGCACCAUCAUGUGGAAGACCACCCCAAAGAGGAGAUGUCUCCAGCCCCCAACAGAGAGACCAUGUGAUGAGCCUCCUGUGACAGAUUCUGACACCGAAGUAGGGCAUAGCUUGGAGGAUAGUCUGUCUCCACACCAAUGUGAUGUUGGCACUCAGUGGCCAGAGCGUAGUGAUCAUGAUUAUUGUUCGAUGAAGUCAACAAAAGAUGCAAGCACACAAACAGAUCCUACACCAUCACUGUCAGCUCAUGACAUGGAUGAUAAAGUGUCAAAAUUUUACACUGGACUAGACAUCAUCAGCUUUUGGCAACUUUUGAACACCAUCAUUGGCUUUCUUCCACAGUCGAAGACGUUCAAAUUACCAGUCCAUGAACAGCUACUGCUGGUCCUAAUGAGGCUUCGGCUUGGCUACAGCCUGUGAUAUGUUCGCAAUGUGGAGAGCAACACUUACCAAUUUCACAAGGGAAAAUCUUAUGUUUUGGCUCCCUCGAGACACUCUGAAUAGAGUAAGACCCUCAAGUUUUCUUGAACACUAUCCCAAUGCAACAUGCAUCAUAGAUUGCACUGAAAUAUUUGUCCAAAGACCGAAGUACCGAAGAACUAUAAGCAUCACAACACCUACAAACUCCUCUAUUGCAUAGCCCCCAAUGGUUUUGUGAUGUAUGUGUCAAAACUGUUUGGUGGCAGAGCUAGUGACACUUUUAUCACAAACUGUGGAUUUCUGUCACAUUUGAUUUUUGGUGAUCAGAUUUUGACAGACCGGGGAUUCACAAUUGGAGAUGUUCUUCCUCCAGGAGUGACAUUGGCUAUUCCAGCAUUUACACGUGGAUGUACACAACUAUCAGAACAUGAAGUCACAAGAACCCGCCGUCUCGCCAAUGUCCGAAUUCAUGUUGAACGUGCAAUAAGAAGGUUAAAAUGCUUCAAAAUUUUGAGUAAUGUAAUUCCAGGUUGAUUAAAACAUGUUGAUGACAUUUUGA